rnacentral:rRNA from 1 species
GAGAGUUAAAUAGUACGUGAAAUUGUUGAAAGGGAAACGAUUGAAGCCAGUCGUACCUAUGGGUAAUCAGCCUUUCGGGUGCGAUUCUGUGGAGUGUGAGGAGCUUAAACACCUUCAUGUUUUGCAUAUUCGUACUCUUGGGUGUACUUGCCCGUGUGGUUGGUUAACAUCAAUUUUGGUGGUCAUAAAAUGACUGGGGGAAUGUAGCUUCGAUCUUGUAUUGAAGUGUUAUAGCCUUCGGUAGAUGUGAUGAUCGAGAUUGAGGAUUGCAACGGAUACCCUUCGGGGCUACCUGUCUGGUCUCUGAUCGUUGCUCUGGUGCCGAAAGCUUGCUUACGGUUAUCAAAGUCGAUGGUCAAUAGGUUAGAACGGGUUAAAUUCGUUAAGGAUGUUGACGUAAUGGCUUUAAACGA